AAAGUUUUAUUAGGUUUAUUAUUUAAAAUGUAUUGACUAGGUGGUGUGGUUAUCAGCUUAACAUCUGAUAGAUCCUCCAUCGGAGGACAACAAAUGUUAAACUGAUUUUUGGAAAUGGGCGGAGUGUUUUAGGGGCGGCUUGCUCCUUCUCUGCCACGGGUUGACCCGGUAUUGUAUUACCGCCGGGAUUUCGGCUUUGAAUAA